rnacentral:lncRNA from 1 species
AAUGGGUCAAAUGAAACCUAAACGGCUUAAUGAUAUCAUGGAGAUUUUUCAAUCACUCAAGAACUUUGAACGUUAUAAAAUAGAAGCAGGAAAGCAAAAUAAUCUUAUUAUUGAGAUAAUGAGUCAGUCAGUCAAUGACCAAUGAUCAUUCACGAAUCAAUAUUACAUUAAACCAACCUAACGUAUGAAAUGAAGAAAACACCAAUCCAUUCAAUGAUACUUGAUACAGUUGGUUACUUACUGAAGUUGAGCAGUCUUGCCGCAACGAACGCAGGAUAGCAGUGCUGCCGAUUCCUUCGUAUCUCCAUCCAUACUCGGUAUUUCCUUUUUGAAUGAGGAGAGGAAAUGAUCGAAUCAGGAUCCAAAUUUCAAAUAAACUACACAAUCGAGAACAAAAAGAAGAUCGGAAAUGAAAAACGAGAAAAAAUUACUGGAACUGCACGACUACGCCGAUGAGUGAACGACGACGAAUCACGACGGCUAGGGCUUUUGGUUCGGUUCGUGCCGGGAAGAAAAAAAAAUCUUUAGAUCGAUUCAAUCUUUACUCUUCAUUCUUCAGACAAUUAGAUUAAAAAAAAUCAAAAAUUUGCAAUCAUGU